rnacentral:rRNA from 1 species
GACGUAGGGCGCGAGCGUUGUCCGGAUUUAUUGGGCGUAAAGAGCUCGUAGGCGGCUUGUCGCGUCGACUGUGAAAUCCCCGCGGCUCAACUGCGGGUCUGCAGUCGAUACGGGCAGACUAGAGUGCUGUAGGGGAGACUGGAAUUCCUGGUGUAGCGGUGAAAUGCGCAGAUAUCAGGAGGAACACCGGUGGCGAAGGCGGGUCUCUGGGCAGUACUGACGCUGAGGAGCGAAAGCGUGGGGAGCAAACAGG